UACGAAGGGGGCUAGCGUUGUUCGGAAUCACUGGGCGUAAAGCGCACGUAGGCGGAUAUUUAAGUCAGGGGUGAAAUCCCGGGGCUCAACCCCGGAACUGCCUUUGAUACUGGGUAUCUCGAGUCCGAGAGAGGUGAGUGGAAUUCCGAGUGUAGAGGUGAAAUUCGUAGAUAUUCGGAGGAACACCAGUGGCGAAGGCGGCUCACUGGCUCGGUACUGACGCUGAGGUGCGAAAGCGUGGGGAGCAAACAGG
rnacentral:rRNA from 1 species